rnacentral:rRNA from 1 species
UACGUAGGGCGCAAGCGUUAUCCGGAAUUAUUGGGCGUAAAGAGCUCGUAGGCGGUUUGUCGCGUCUGCCGUGAAAGUCCGGGGCUCAACUCCGGAUCUGCGGUGGUACGGGCAGACUAGAGUGAUGUAGGGGAGACUGGAAUUCCUGGUGUAGCGGUGAAAUGCGCAGAUAUCAGGAGGAACACCGAUGGCGAAGGCAGGUCUCUGGGCAUUAACUGACGCUGAGGAGCGAAAGCAUGGGAGCGAACAGG